rnacentral:misc_RNA from 1 species
GGAAGGAUCAUUAUCUAAUUCUUCUAAUGACUGUCCUCAGUCUUGCCUCGCUCAUUCACAUGAAUGUGGUGUCGAGUAAAUGAGACUUGAGUGUGCAGAUGUCAUAUUGAUUUUUCAUAUGAGAGAGAGAAGCACGCUAAGCGAUUCUCCCUUUUUUUCUCUUAAAUCCCAUGCGAAUGCUCUGUGUAGAUGCCAAAUACACAGAGGGUUGAGUGUGGGUCGGCGCCAGCCAUAGCGUCGUCACAUAACAUGAGCCUUUGUUGCUUGUGUGCAUAUACAUCCGCGGGGCAUCUACCGUUUGAGGUACUCUACAAGUGGCUUCAACACUUGGAAGAUCGGUGAAUGCUAGUUGGACAUGCCCCAUUGCUCGUGGGCAAGUACAACUGGUGUUUUUGGGGGCUGGCCAUUGCUCGUGUCAGCAACCGAUCCUAUAACGUGCGAGGUUUAAUGAGGCAUGUGGAAGUGAUGCGAGAAAAUAUAGCAUAUCAAGGGGAUGCUGAGGCUGCCAUUGCUCGUGUGGUCUCAGGUCGACUGGUUUAAGAGUUGAAGUGAGAACAUUGUCAUUACCCAAGGACAAAUAUCUCAUGUAUUUACACACCUAGUCGUUACAGUCUCCGCUGUUUUAAUGCGCGCAUCAUGAAAACUGUCCGCCCCAGUGUUUUUUUUGCAACUUAUCAGUUAUUGUUUAUCCAAUCACAUAUGGAGAUCUAUCGCGACUAGCUGCAUGGUAUGUGGGCGGCGAUAACGUGGUGCGCUAGUUGACCCGGCCGUGACAUGGACCUACUUUCCGUGUGUCCUUGCGAAAGGAUGCGCGAGAUAGUAUUGGAAUGAUGUGAGGGUGGGGGACUUUUGCACAAAAAUAAAAACUUUGAGUGGUGGAUCACUCGGCUCGUGUAACGAGGAAGAGCAAAGCCAACUUUGUGAUUUAUUGUGAAUUGCAGAACGCUUUGAUCAUAAACCUCUCGAACGCACAUGGCGGCUAUUGUGAAAACAGUAGCCCCGUUUGUCUGAGGGUCGGUUGAGAACAUCUAUCGUCACGUUUGUGAGUGGCGGCUUGUGGAGUGUCAUGGUGCUCAUGUUAUGUGUAGAGUACUGUGUUUGGCGCUUCAUUAAGGUGAGUCUCUCAAAAGGCUCCUUCUCAAGUUUCACACUGACUAAGACUCAAAGGUCUACGAUUCUUAUUUUUCGUAUUCCCUGAGACACUUGGUGAGUGAGUUUACAUGUUUAGUUUGCCCUGGAUUGUGACUGUGUAUCUCAUGGUGACAGUUUUAUGGUCGCGGCUUGAUAAGUUGCGCCCUGUCACAUUGUGAGAUGUGCUCCACUGGCGGUCCAUUGCCGGACAGCUGUUGCAAUCGUAAAGGCGAACGUCGUAGACAGGAAACUCAUUGAGAAGAUGGGAAUGUAAACACAAAUUUGCAUUUCUUUCAAUCCUGACCUCAGAUCAAGCGUGAUUACCCGCUGAACUUAAGCAUAUCAGUAAGCGGAGGAAAAGAAACUAACAAGGAUUCCCUUAGUAGCGGCGAGCGAAGAGGGAGUAGCCCAUAACCGAAUCGCAUGGCGUGAUGUCAUUGCGAAAUGUGGUGUUCGGGUAGUUUUCCUGCUGCACAUUUCGUCCAGAGUCGUAAGUCCACGUGAUUGUGGCCCAUUCCCCAAAGAGGGUGUAAGGCCCGUUACGACUGCAAAUGUGUGGUGCGAGAUUACUCAAGAGUCGGUUUGCUUGGGAAUGCAGACCUAAUCGGGUGGUAAACUCCAUCCAAGGCUACAUAUAACACGAGUCCGAUAGCGAACAAGUACCGUGAGGGAAAGUUGAAAAGAACUUUGAAGAGAGAGUUCAAUAGUGCGUGAAACCGCUCAAAGGUAAACGGGUGGAGCUGAAGUUGGCGUGAUGGUUGAUGUCUUCUGACGCGCUCAUGGGCUACAUUGUGGAUCCGUUUAUGAGGAAUGCAAUGUUGGUUUGUGAUGUGUGUUGGUUGGCUGUUUGCCGCAUGCUUUCACCACGAUCGGCGAUGCUGCUGCUCAGUGCUUGAGGAAAAGAUAGGGUUGCGCUCUUCGGAGUGUGACCUGUUAUAGAUCCUCUAAAUUGUGCUGAGUGGUGUAUUGCCGUGUAUGGCGAGGUGAGCCCCCAUUGCUCGUGGGGCGCAUAUAGAUACUUGCGUGGAUCGCCUCCAUGAGAUACUCAUUGCCCGAGUGUCUUGUGGUGUGCUGGUUCUUGUUGAGCGUCUCUCUGUGCAUCACUUCAAUAAUCGUGUGGUGUUUUGUAGGCCAUCCACCUGUCCCGUCUUGAAACACGGACCAAGGAGUGUAACAUGUACGCGAGUCAUAGGGUUCUACGAAACCCCAAGGCGCAGUGAAAGUAAAGGUCUCCAUUGUGUGAGGCUUAGGUGCGAUCUGUGCUUCUUCGGAAGUGCGGCGCAGCACCGGCUCGUCCUAUAUAUUUUAUGUGGGGCGAAGCAAGAGCGUACAUGCUGCGACCCGAAAGAUGGUGAACUAUGCUUGCGUAGGUUGAAGCCAGAGGAAACUCUGGUGGAGGACCGAAGCGAUUCUGACGUGCAAAUCGAUCGUCAAACGUGAGUAUAGGGGCGAAAGACUAAUCGAACCAUCUAGUAGCUGGUUCCCUC